rnacentral:tRNA from 2 species
UGCCUCAUAGCUCAACUUGGCAGAGCAACGCGCUGUUAACGCGAUGGUUGUUGGUUCGAGUCCAACUGGGGCAG